GAUGAACGCUGGCGGCGUGCCUAAUACAUGCAAGUCGAGCGAACGGACGAGAAGCUUGCUUCUCUGAUGUUAGCGGCGGACGGGUGAGUAACACGUGGAUAACCUACCUAUAAGACUGGGAUAACUUCGGGAAACCGGAGCUAAUACCGGAUAAUAUUUUGAACCGCAUGGUUCAAAAGUGAAAGACGGUCUUGCUGUCACUUAUAGAUGGAUCCGCGCUGCAUUAGCUAGUUGGUAAGGUAACGGCUUACCAAGGCAACGAUGCAUAGCCGACCUGAGAGGGUGAUCGGCCACACGGGAACUGAGACACGGUCCAGACUCCUACGGGAGGCAGCAGUAGGGAAUCUUCCGCAGUGGGCGAAAGCCUGACGGAGCAACGCCGCGUGAGUGAUGGAGGUCUUCGGAUCGUAAAACUCUGUUAUUAGGGAAGAACAUAUGUGUAAGUAACUGUGCACAUCUUGACGGUACCUAAUCAGAAAGCCACGGCUAACUACGUG
rnacentral:rRNA from 1 species